rnacentral:rRNA from 1 species
AUACGGAGGAUCCGAGCGUUAUCCGGAUUUAUUGGGUUUAAAGGGUGCGCAGGCGGCCAUUUAAGUCAGCGGUUAAAUCGUGGGGCUCAACCCCAUUCUGCCGUUGAUACUGGGUGGCUUGAUUGCGGUCGAGGUUGGCGGAAUUCGGUGUGUAGCGGUGAAAUGCAUAGAUAUGACGAAGAACACCGAUUGCGUAGGCAGCUGACCAGACCGCAAAUGACGCUCAUGCACGAAAGUGCGGGGAUCGAACAGGAUUAGAUACCCUGGUAGUCCGCACAGUAAACGAUGAAUACUUGUUUUCGGCGAUAUAAUGUCGGAGGCAAAGCGAAAGCGAUAAGUAUUCCACCUGGGGAGCACGCCGGCAACGGUGAAACUCAAAUGAAUUGGCGGGG